GACAGAGGUUGCAAACGUUGUUCGGAAUCACUGGGCAUAAAGCGCACGUAGGCGGUCUGUUAAGUCAGGUGUGAAGGCCCCCGGCUCAACCGGGGAAUUGCAUUUGAUACUGGCAGGCUCGAGAACGGUAGGGGUGAGUGGAACUCCAGGUGGAGCGGUGAAAUGCGUAGAUAUCUGGAGGAACACCGGUGGCGAAGGCGGCAUUCUGGACUGCAACUGACACUGAGGAACGAAAGCCAGGGGAGCAAACGGG
rnacentral:rRNA from 1 species